rnacentral:rRNA from 1 species
AGUGAACGCUGGCGGUAGGCCUAACACAUGCAAGUCGAACGGCAGCACAGUAAGAGCUUGCUCUUACGGGUGGCGAGUGGCGGACGGGUGAGGAAUACAUCGGAAUCUACUUUUUCGUGGGGGAUAACGUAGGGAAACUUACGCUAAUACCGCAUACGACCUACGGGUGAAAGCAGGGGAUCUUCGGACCUUGCGCGAUUGAAUGAGCCGAUGUCGGAUUAGCUAGUUGGCGGGGUAAAGGCCCACCAAGGCGACGAUCCGUAGCUGGUCUGAGAGGAUGAUCAGCCACACUGGAAGUGAGACACGGUCCAGACUCCUACGGGAGGCAGCAGUGGGGAAUAUUGGACAAUGGGCGCAAGACUGAUCCAGCCAUACCGCGUGGGUGAAGAAGGCCUUCGGGUUGUAAAGCCCUUUUGUUGGGAAAGAAAAGCAGCAGGUUAAUACCCCGCUGUUCUGACGGUACCCAAAGAAUAAGCACCGGCUAACUUCGUG